UGGGGAAUAUUGGACAAUGGGGGCAACCCUGAUCCAGCCAUGCCGCGUGUGUGAAGAAGGCCUUCGGGUUGUAAAGCACUUUCAGAAGGGAAGAAAAGCCCGGGGCUAAUACCCCGUGGGUCUUGACGGUACCUUCAGAAGAAGCACCGGCUAACUCCGUGCCAGCAGCCGCGGUAAUACGGAGGGUGCAAGCGUUAAUCGGAAUUACUGGGCGUAAAGCGCGCGUAGGUGGUUUGGUAAGUCGGGUGUGAAAGCCCCGGGCUCAACCUGGGAAUUGCACUCGAUACUGCCUGGCUAGAGUGUGGUAGAGGGAAGUGGAAUUCCGCAUGUAGCGGUGAAAUGCGUAGAGAUGCGGAGGAACACCAAUGGCGAAGGCAACUUCCUGGACCAACACUGACACUGAGGUGCGAAAGCGUGGGUAGCAAACAGGAUUAGAUACCCGCGUAGUCC
rnacentral:rRNA from 1 species